AUGGAGACAUACCAAACUGUUGACAGAUUUAAAUAUAAGUUCUACAAAAGUUCCCCUUCCAAUCAAUGUAGCUUUGGUUGGUCUGUUAAGGGUGGCAACCCUCCCUUGUUCAUUUUCCAGCUUCUUCAAACAAACAAAUUUGUCACCAAGUGUGCCUCAAGGGCAGGUGCCAAGCUUUUAAGAAGAUACUUAGUGAGGUUGUGCUUAGACAAGAUCUCAAAGACCUUAACACAAAACUUGUUUACUUCUGUCUUUCUUGCUGGUUUGCUCGGCAUAUCUGUCACCAACUCUUUCAUAACAUGA